rnacentral:lncRNA from 1 species
UAACGUCGUAAUCAGUGCAUCAUUAAGGGUGACAAGCUUCCGCUCGUUUACGUCAUUCUUGUGAUGUAUGGAAUGUCGAUGUAUAAUGCUAAAUCGUUUAGAAACGCUGUUGACUCAUAGUUUUGAUGAUUCCUGAUGAACUUUUUAUUUCUUUUUAGAUGUUUAUAGAGUAACAUCCUGGAAAAAACAACACCUAUCUGGAAAAAUGAAGUACGACGACGGUCGUUUAAGAAUCAACGUUGAUGGAGUUUACUUUGUUUACAGUCAAAUGUAUUAUUUUGAUCGGAAUAACACUUAUACUGGUUUCAAUGUAUAUAUCGACAACAAGAGAAUCUUGAAGGCGAUCUACAGUAUUGUUGAUUUUCAUAAACCAUACCAUACUCAGUUUAUAAGUGGUAUUUUUAAAAUUUACAAGGGCCAGACAAUAUGGGUAGGAACGAAAAUUAGGAGGGAAUAUUUUUUCAACGAAAGUUCAGCUUUCUUUGGUGCAUUUAUGUUGCAUGCUUGAGCUAAUACGAUUAUUUGGCAAAGCAUGAAAUAUAGAAUUAAGAAUUUUUCUGAUCCUGUGAGAACCGAAAAUUUCAGUUGUUUAGAAAGUAAACCGGGCUAUAUAUAAUUAGUACCUAGAAACAAAACACAGUCCGAAGAUUGUCAUCUUGAGAUAUACGGAUUAAAACAAGACGAGAACUGAGUUUAUUACAAAGUCAUCAUCGAUCAGACUAACUAUAGUUAGAAAAUACAAAAUGUCUUAUGUUUAUACGAAAAAGACUGGAUUGGAGUCAUUAUAACUGUUUUAUAACAAUGCAUUUUCAGGAAAGAAUGCUAACAACAAGCUAGCUUUGGGGGUGCAGAUUAUAUUCAUAGUCCUAUACUUACCAAUAUCGAUUUUAUCCCGAUAUUUAUUUAUAUUGGGUUAAAAUCACAAUAUAGACCGUGCCAUCGUUUUCUGCUAUGCCUAUGAUCAUCCCUCUCGUCUUCUUUAUUGUGGUAGAUUAUGAUGGGGUCCAAUCAUUCAUGCAAUUUAUAAAAUAAUUUAGAAUUUUUGAUUACAACAAUAUCAAUAUGACAAUAAGACAUUGUGCAUCCUUUUUCUAACGACCAGUAGUAUAACAUAAAAUUGUAAAUAUUAUAAAUAAUUAUAAUUGUAUAAGCAGUAAGAAGUAUGAUAUACAAAUAAGGCAAGAAAUGUACUGAGUACUUUUAAUAGUAAUUUUUAUUGAGUAAUUUUGUUAAUUGAAAUGUAAAUAUCAACUUUUAUUUCUUAGACUCGUUUGUAGAUACUAAACUAAUAAUAAAACUGUAUAACCGACACUGAAAUAAUC